CCUUAAAGAACCUGCCUUUGUAGUGCUCACACAGAUUGUCUGAUGAACGUAAAGAAGCAAGGCGUCUUGCGAUUGAGACUUCAGUGUCCCCUUCGUCUAGAGGCCCAGGACACCGCCCUUUCACGGCGGUAACAGGGGUUCGAAUCCCCUAGGGGACGCCACUUGCUGAUUCGUGAGUGAAAGACGCGUGCCGAACUAUCUCAAAACUCAUCUUCGGGUGAUGUUUGAGAUAUUUGCUCUUUAAAAAUCUGGAUCAAGCUGAAAAUUGAAACGACACACUGUUUAAGUGUGUUCGAGUCUCUCAAAUUUUCGCAAUCAGAAGUGAAACAUCUUCGGGUUGUGA
rnacentral:misc_RNA from 1 species